rnacentral:rRNA from 1 species
CUUCCCGUAAGGGGGACCUGCGGAAGGAUCAUUAGUGAAUAUAGGACGUCCAACUUAACUUGGAGUCCGAACUCUCACUUUCUAACCCUGUGCACUUGUUUGGGAUAGUAACUCUCGCAAGAGAGCGAACUCCUAUUCACUUAUAAACACAAAGUCUAUGAAUGUAUUAAAUUUUAUAACAAAAUAAAACUUUCAACAACGGAUCUCUUGGCUCUCGCAUCGAUGAAGAACGCAGCGAAAUGCGAUAAGUAAUGUGAAUUGCAGAAUUCAGUGAAUCAUCGAAUCUUUGAACGCACCUUGCGCUCCAUGGUAUUCCGUGGAGCAUGCCUGUUUGAGUGUCAUGAAUACUUCAACCCUCCUCUUUCUUAAUGAUUGAAGAGGUGUUUGGUUUCUGAGCGCUGCUGGCCUUUACGGUCUAGCUCGUUCGUAAUGCAUUAGCAUCCGCAAUCGAACUUCGGAUUGACUUGGCGUAAUAGACUAUUCGCUGAGGAAUUCUAGUCUUCGGAUUAGAGCCGGGUUGGGUUAAAGGAAGCUUCUAAUCAGAAUGUCUACAUUUUAAGAUUAGAUCUCAAAUCAGGUAGGACUACCCGCUGAACUUAAGGAUAUCAAUAAGAC